rnacentral:rRNA from 1 species
UACGAAGGGGGCUAGCGUUGCUCGGAAUCACUGGGCGUAAAGCGCACGUAGGCGGACUCUUAAGUCGGUGGUGAAAUCCUGGAGCUCAACUCCAGAACUGCCUUCGAUACUGAGAGUCUUGAGUCCGGGAGAGGUGAGUGGAACUGCGAGUGUAGAGGUGAAAUUCGUAGAUAUUCGCAAGAACACCAGUGGCGAAGGCGGCUCACUGGCCCGGUACUGACGCUGAGGUGCGAUGAGCGUGGGGAGCAAACAGG